AAUAACUUUAUUUUUUGUUUUUCGGUAUCCAACGUGACCAUUCGUCUUAUUUAAAAAAUUUUUGCGAUCAAUAUUUUUAUUUUUUCUAGAUGAUAAAAUAUGAAUAGUACUUUAUACAUGACUAAUUUUUUUAAGUUUUUUAUAAAUUUUUUAAAUAAGAUGAAUGGUAAAACGUUGGAAAGGAAAAAUGAAAAAUAAGAUUAUU
rnacentral:pre_miRNA from 1 species